rnacentral:rRNA from 1 species
GACGAACGCUGGCGGCGUGCCUAAUACAUGCAAGUAGAACGCUGAAGGAGGAGCUUGCUUCUCCGGAUGAGUUGCGAACGGGUGAGUAACGCGUAGGUAACCUGCCUGGUAGCGGGGGAUAACUAUUGGAAACGAUAGCUAAUACCGCAUAAUAGUAGAUGUUGCAUGACAUUUGCUUAAAAGGUGCAAUUGCAUCACUACCAGAUGGACCUGCGUUGUAUUAGCUAGUUGGUGGGGUAACGGCUCACCAAGGCGACGAUACAUAGCCGACCUGAGAGGGUGAUCGGCCACACUGGGACUGAGACACGGCCCAGACUCCUACGGGAGGCAGCAGUAGGGAAUCUUCGGCAAUGGACGGAAGUCUGACCGAGCAACGCCGCGUGAGUGAAGAAGGUUUUCGGAUCGUAAAGCUCUGUUGUAAGAGAAGAACGAGUGUGAGAGUGGAAAGUUCACACUGUGACGUAUCUACCA